rnacentral:rRNA from 1 species
GUUGUAUAGUCAAGUAAUUAAGUGCAUGUGGUGGAUGCCUUGGCAGUCAGAGGCGAUGAAAGACGUGAUAGCCUGCGAAAAGCUCCGGGGAGGCGGCAAAUAUCCUUUGAUCCGGAGAUGUCUGAAUGGGGGAACCCACCUACUUUAAGGUAGGUAUUGCAACAUGAAUACAUAGUGUUGCAAGGCGAACGAGGGGAAGUGAAACAUCUCAGUACCCUUAGGAAAAGAAAUCAAUUGAGAUUCCCUCAGUAGCGGCGAGCGAACGGGGAUCAGCCCAUUAAGUUAUGUGUGUUUUAGUGGAACGCUCUGGGAAGUGCGAACGUAGAGGGUGAUAUUCCCGUACACGAAAGGGCACACAUAAUGAUGACGAGUAGGGCGAGGCACGUGAAACCUUGUCUGAAUAUGGGGGGACCAUCCUCCAAGGCUAAAUACUCCUGACUGACCGAUAGUGAACCAGUACCGUGAGGGAAAGGCGAAAAGAACCCCUGUGAGGGGAGUGAAAUAGAUCCUGAAACCGCAUGCAUACAAGCAGUGGGAGCACCUUCGUGGUGUGACUGCGUACCUUUUGUAUAAUGGGUCAGCGACUUAUAUUCAGUAGCAAGGUUAACCGUAUAGGGGAGCCGUAGAGAAAUCGAGUCUUAAUAGGGCGUUUAGUUGCUGGGUAUAGACCCGAAACCAGGCGAUCUAUCCAUGAGCAGGUUGAAGGUUGGGUAACACUAACUGGAGGACCGAACCCACUGUCGUUGAAAAGCCAGGGGAUGACUUGUGGAUAGGGGUGAAAGGCUAAUCAAGCCUGGUGAUAGCUGGUUCUCCCCGAAAGCUAUUUAGGUAGCGCCUCGGACGAAUACCAUAGGGGGUAGAGCACUGUUUCGGCUAGGGGGUCAUCCCGACUUACCAAACCGAUGCAAACUCCGAAUACCUAUGAGUACUAUCCGGGAGACAGACUGCGGGUGCUAACGUCCGUAGUCAAGAGGAAAACAAUCCAGACCGCCAGCUAAGGCCCCAAAAUCAUAGUUAAGUGGGAAACGAUGUGGGAAGGCAUAGACAGCUAGGAGGUUGGCUUANNNNNNNNNNNNNNNNNNNNNNNNNNNNNNGAAGCAGCCACCCUUUAAAGAAAGCGUAAUAGCUCACUAGUCGAGUCGGCCUGCGCGGAAGAUGUAACGGGGCUAAAACUAUGUGCCGAAGCUGCGGAUGUAUACUUUGUAUACGUGGUAGGGGAGCGUUCUGUAAGCCGAUGAAGGUGUGUUGAGAAGCNNNNNNNNNNAUGCUGGAGGUAUCAGAAGUGCGAAUGCUGACGUGAGUAACGACAAAACGGGUGAAAAACCCGUUCGCCGAAAGACCAAGGGUUCCAGUCCAACGUUAAUCGGGGCUGGGUGAGUCGACCCCUAAGGCGAGGCCGAAAGGCGUAGUCGAUGGGAAAAUGGUUAAUAUUCCAUUACUUCUGUGUAAUGCGAUGAGAGGACGGAGAAGGCUAAAUCAGCCUGGCGUUGGUUGUCCAGGUGAAAGGAUGUAGGCAUGUAUCUUAGGCAAAUCCGGGGUACUCUAUGCUGAGAUCUGAUAGCAAGCUGUACUUGUACAGCGAAGUGGUUGAUGCCAUGCUUCCAGGAAAAGUCUCUAAGCUUCAGUUACACAGGAAUCGUACCCGAAACCGACACAGGUGGUCAGGUCGAGUAGACCAAGGCGCUUGAGAGAACUCUGCUGAAGGAACUAGGCAAAAUGGUACCGUAACUUCGGGAGAAGGUACGCUGUUGUUGGUGAUGGAACUCGCUUCCUGAGCUGACGACAGCCGCAGAAACCAGGCCGCUGCAACUGUUUAUUAAAAACAUAGCACUCUGCAAACACGAAAGUGGACGUAUAGGGUGUGAUGCCUGCCCGGUGCUGGAAGGUUAAUUGAUGGGGUUAGCGUAAGCGAAGCUCUUGAUCGAAGCCCCAGUAAACGGCGGCCGUAACUAUAACGGUCCUAAGGUAGCGAAAUUCCUUGUCGGGUAAGUUCCGACCUGCACGAAUGGCAUAAUGAUGGCGGCGCUGUCUCCAGCAGAGGCUCAGUGAAAUCGAAAUCGCUGUGAAGAUGCAGUGUACCCGCGGCUAGACGGAAAGACCCCGUGAACCUUUACUGCAGCUUGACACUGAACUUUGACCUUACUUGUGUAGGAUAGGUGGGAGGCUUUGAAGCUGGAACGCUAGUUCCAGUGGAGCCGUCCUUGAAAUACCACCCUGGUAAUGUUGAGGUUCUAACUCUGUCCCGUGAUCCGGGACGAGGACCGUGUCUGGUGGGUAGUUUGACUGGGGCGGUCUCCUCCUAAAGAGUAACGGAGGAGUACGAAGGUGCGCUCAGCGUGGUCGGAAAUCACGCGUAGAGUAUAAAGGCAAAAGCGCGCUUAACUGCGAGACCCACAAGUCGAGCAGGUACGAAAGUAGGUCUUAGUGAUCCGGUGGUUCUGUAUGGAAGGGCCAUCGCUCAACGGAUAAAAGGUACUCUGGGGAUAACAGGCUGAUACCGCCCAAGAGUUCAUAUCGACGGCGGUGUUUGGCACCUCGAUGUCGGCUCAUCUCAUCCUGGGGCUGAAGCAGGUCCCAAGGGUAUGGCUGUUCGCCAUUUAAAGAGGUACGCGAGCUGGGUUUAGAACGUCGUGAGACAGUUCGGUCCCUAUCUACCGUGGGCGCUGGAAAUUUGAGAGGAUCUGCUCCUAGUACGAGAGGACCAGAGUGGACGAACCUCUGGUGUACCGGUUGUGACGCCAGUCGCAUCGCCGGGUAGCUAUGUUCGGAAGGGAUAACCGCUGAAAGCAUCUAAGCGGGAAGCCUACCUCAAGAUAAGAUUUCCCUAGGACUUUAUGUCCUCUAAAGAGCCGUUCGAGACUAGGACGUUGAUAGGUUGGAUGUGGAAGCAUAGUGAUAUGUGAAGCUGACCAAUACUAAUUGCUCGUGAGGCUUGACUAUACAACACCCAAGCAGUUG